UGCUUACUCCCUCCGUUCGAAAAUAUUUAUCAUCAAAAUAAAUAAAUAAAGAUGUGUCUAGAAUUAAAAUAAGAUACAUCUUCUUUAAUUUGUUUUGAUGACAAAUAUUUUCGGACGGAGAGAGUACGGC
rfam:Triticum urartu cultivar G1812 contig881148, whole genome shotgun sequence.